GUGCAUGUUUUGGCCCUCCUUGCCGUCUCUCCGUGACAAUAGGGGGGUCAAGCAAAAACAUGCUAGAUUAACGCUGAAAUAUUCGGGAGCUAACAGGGCCACCAGUCUUUCAAGGCCAGACUGAGUCGGUAGUAUAAAACUCCCACAGUU
ensembl:snoRNA small nucleolar RNA U109